UACAGAGGUCUCAAGCGUUUGUUCGGAUUCAUUGGGCGUAAAGGGUGCGUAGGCGGCGCGGUAAGUCGGGUGUGAAAUCUUGGAGCUUAACUCCGAAACUGCAUUCGAUACUGCCGUGCUUGAGGACUGGAGAGGAGACUGGAAUUUACGGUGUAGCGGUGAAAUGCGUAGAUAUCGUAAGGAAGACCAGUGGCGAAGGCGGGUCUCUGGACAGUUCCUGACGGCUGGAGGCACGAAGGCCAGGGGAGCAAAACGGGG
rnacentral:rRNA from 1 species